rnacentral:sRNA from 1 species
CAGAGAACUGAACAAGAUAAUACAUGAAGGUGCAUAUCAAAGAGUCUCACAUGCUCUGCUGGAUCACACAAAAGUUGGGAAGAGAAGGAUGUCAAUUAGACUACAUCAAAAUCUGGGCAGAGGGAGGACAAAGAGCUGCCUAAAGAAACUGGUAGCUGGAGCAAACUGCAGAGAUCAAGAUGACCCUAGUCAACGGAACCAGCAGCCCAGCAACACCAGCUCUACCAGCACCAGUGAAUAAGAAUCACAACCUGGAUGGGCUCCAAGUCCAACUUCACCACAUUCAGAUAUGGGAUUCAGAAAAGUUUCACCGGAGCCCGACUCACAUUCUAUCAUGUGGAAAGCGCUCUGCUGAGGAGCCCUGUUCCUCUAAGAUACACAUGUGACA